AUGGCCGCCGGCGCCUCUCCGCCGGAGACGGCGCUCCCCGCGGCGGACGGCCCCGGAGACGAAGACGGGGAGGAGGAGGCGCAAUGCCGCAUCUGCCGCCUCCCGGCCGAGGCGGGCCGCCCCCUGCGCCACCCCUGCGCCUGCCGCGGCAGCAUCAGGUUCGUCCACGACGACUGCCAGCUCCGCUGGCUCGCCACCCGCCAGCGACCCCGAUGCGAGCUGUGCAACAACGACAUCUCCAUCCGACCUGUGUACGCUGCAGACGCCCCUGUGAGGCUGCCUGUUUCUGAGUUCAUGGCGGGUUUCUCCCACAAACUCAUGGAUCUGUUGCUCCUCCUUAUCUGCCUCGUCCCAGCACUUGUCAUGUACCUCAUCACCCUCGGGGCAUGGCUCUUCGCACUUGCCAGGUCCUUUGCUCAAGUGCACUAUCUGCUGUCCCUCCGCCCCUCUGUCGCCUCGAUUGUUGCUCAAACUGCAGUUUUCAUUUUAAGGCUGCCUGGUAUAAUUCUCAGAGGGGUCGUAGGUUCUAUCCCCUCUGUCGCCUCGAUUGUUGCUCAAAGCGCAGUAUUUAUUUUAAGGCUGCCUGGUAUAUUUCUCAGAGGGGUCGUACGCUCUAUUCCUGCUGCCAAUUUCUGUCUUAAUCUGCUGAGCGCAAAAAUAUUACACCCAGUGUUCUUUGGCUGGGCGCUUGAUAUCUGCACUUCAGAAAUGUUUGGUGCAACAAUGUCUCAGAGGUUCAAGCUUAUGCUUGCUUCAUCUUUUGCUUCAACUGUUCUUCAUUGGUAUUUUGGAUGCAUGUUUUGGCACCUCGGCCUUAGAUUCUUCAGACUUAUUGAUAAGGUACUGAGGCCAGGAAUUGCCAUUCCCUUUGUCCACUAUGAAGCUCACGAACCAUUCUACAAAUUUUAUCUCAAGAAGCUUCAUAUUCUUUUUGUUGGAAUUAUCUCUAUGGUUUUGGUCAUUGUUGUUCCUAUUCAAAUUGGCGGGCUAUUGGUGCCGGAGUUGUUCCCAUUUCAUAUCACCUACUUCAAUUGUGGUGCAAAGGGCAUAUCAUUUUGGCAAGUGCCACGAAACUAUGUCGAUUCGGUUUCUCAUGCUCUUCUUCUGACGUUUCUCAUUGAUAACACUAAGACACUUGUAUACCUUGAGUGGUUAGUGAAGAAGGUAACCCGGUAUUCCUUUGUCACUACUGGACAUGCUCUAGGCUUGUCAGAUUCGUUGAGUAUCUGGCCCGUUGGUGCAUCUGGACAUGAUGAUAUUGGGAGUAGUGUCGCACCAGAAGACCAGUAUGAUAGGAUCAGUGAAGCUAAGGAUGGAAGGAGAUCAGUUGCAGUUGCUACAAUCCUAAGUCUGAUGCUUGCAUGGUUGACUAUUGUGAUAUUCAAUUUGGCUGUGCUCAUUUUUCCAAUCUCAAUUGGGCAUGCCAUCACUCGGCUGCCACUAGCAGGUGGACUGAAAUCCGAUGACAUGCUUGCUUUGGCUAUUGGAUUUGGCACCAUAUCAACUGUCAUUGCCGCCUCUAGAGAUUCAUUUGCCUACAUGACUUCUGGGAGAACACACCUUCUAGUCCUGAAUCGCUAUCUGGUUGUGUUCUUAUGGCUUGUCAUCGCUCCUUUCCUGACCGGGCUGCUGGUUGAUCUAUCACUAAUAUCACCAUUCACUGGGCUUGAUGAUGACGUUCCAGUUGUAGGCCUUUCCUACUAUUGGAGCCUGGGGUGUCUAUCUCUGAAAAUCUGGGGGAAGCAGGCUCGUCGGACAAGGGCCAGAUGCUUGCGAGCCUAUUUCAUCGACGAAAGGUGGGGCCCAAAGCUUAAUCAGGCAAAGGCAGAUUGGGAUUCAGGGAUCACACCAAUGUGGUGGUUCUUGCAAGAUGUGUGCGUGCCUAUCGUCACGAAGCUAAUCGCUGCUCUGGGUGUUCCCUAUGUGCUUGCCAAGGGGGUCUUCCCGAGAUUCGGGUACUCCAUCGCCAUGAACUCGUCGGUGUACCGUUUCGUGUGGCUGGGCAGCCUCGGCUUCUAUCUUGCCAAAGCGUUGUGCGCCAAACUCCAUGAUUCUAUCAGGGAUGCCCGUUAUGUCGUUGGGCAGAGGCUGGAAGAUGUCGCCGACGGUAGCUGA
rnacentral:rRNA from 1 species